rnacentral:tRNA from 1 species
GCCGACUUAGCUCAGUGGCAGAGCGUCGCUCUCGUUAAACGAAGGUCCGGGCUGUUCGAUCCCCCCCAGUCCGGCA